GCGGCCAUGGUGAAAUUUGGUAAACACAUAUAAUUUGGAAUUAUAGAUACAUUUAAGAGAGUAUUUGAGGGUUCAAGUCCCUCUGGCCGCA
rnacentral:tRNA from 1 species